rnacentral:rRNA from 1 species
UACGUAGGGGGCUAGCGUUGUCCGGAUUUAUUGGGCGUAAAGAGCUCGUAGGUGGUUCGGUAAGUCGGAUGUGAAAUCUCCAGGCUCAACCUGGAGGGGUCAUUCGAUACUGCCGUGACUAGAGUCCGGAAGAGGAGAGUGGAAUUCCUGGUGUAGCGGUGAAAUGCGCAGAUAUCAGGAAGAACACCAAUGGCGAAAGCAGCUCUCUGGGACGGUACUGACGCUGAGACGCGAAAGCGUGGGGAGCGAACAGG